CCCAGAAUGACAGGAUCUUAACACUCACACCUAUCUACUAGUUAUUUACUUAUGCACUAAUCUCUGGAUAAUGAAAGAAGUACAUGCUAUCCCUGUAGUUUGAGACUGUGAAUGUUCUAGAAGUAUGAAUAGUAAAAUUUUAUCUGACUUCUGCUAACGUGGGUCUGUCGCUGCUUGUUUCCCUGGAACAGUCUGAGAGAUGGCUUGGGCGGAGGGCGAAGAGAUGACUGAGGCCCUUAUGCUGACUCUACAGGAAUUGCACUUGACUCCUUCACUCUGGUGUCCUCAUUAACCAUUCCCUGGUUGGUCAUGGGGCAUGAGGCACAUGGUCUACCCUUGCACUGUGCUAGACCAGUUUUUUCCUGAUUUCUGUCCUCUAAUUCACUUAGAGGGUUUAACCAUGAAUCCCUUUACAACUUUUCUUCUAGAUUUCUUGGGGUCUGUUGGUUAAUGUCUCAGUAGACCUGGCCUCAGCCACUGGUGUUCAGCACUUUCCCCCAUCCUAACAGCUGGGCCAGAUGCCUUUCAGAGUCCGCAAAACCUGUUUUUUAAAGUUACAGGAGAAAAAACACUCACUUGCCCUGUGCCCGUAAACAGGAACUAGUAGAAGAACAGAGACCUGCUGGCUUUUUUGUGGUAGUUCCUGUUUUGAGAUCCUUCUUAGUUCAUUUUCGUCAUCUCUUUGAACCUUGCUUUUUCCUCAGUGGUUGAACCACGAUUAGAUCCUACCCUUUGGUCUUAAGGAACUGCCUUCAGCCACUAUACUUUAUGCUAUCGCUCCUGAUUGCAACUCUCAUAAUUUUGUUUUCUCAGCCUUCAGGUUGUACUUAUCUGGAACCCAGGCACCUAGAGCAUUUCACUCUUUUCUUCCUUUAAAACAGAACAGUCUAUUAAUCCUAAUCGGUCUUCCCACAUUGUCCUCUCAUGAGGUAGUGUGCCAGGGGUCAGUUCUCAUUACAAUGUUGUCAUGUAGGGUAGAAGGUUUGAUCUUACCCUUACUUCCCUGGUCUGGACAAUUUAAAGCAUUACCACUUAUAUCUGCCCCACAUUCCAGAACAGACCCAGCCCCAAAGGCAUGACCCAGUGGGAGAUUGUGCAACCAGUAACAAAAGGUCAGUGUUUGUAAAUGGAUCCAAGGAUAUUCCGACUUAUCUUCUACUGUCACUCCUAGGCAUUCCUGUAGGAUUUUUUAAGAGGGAGAGGAAGGGAUAUAAUCCUAUCAAGUAUUGCCAUGAUGUCCAGCGCAGGAAACCUAUGCCAUAGUCCAGGGGACUGUGAAUAAAGGUUCACACUGGUCUGUCAUUAGAAAGUACCCAUCACAUUUCUUUGGGUGGUAAAACCUGUCUGAUCUUCAAAGAACCAAGAUUCACUAUAUAAUACUUAGUAGAAAACUAUUAAUUUACUAGACAGAUGAUACAUUUUACAUUGGAAAUUUAUUCGGGACAGGGCAUGCUAUUUGCUAUAAUAUUUGAGCUCUAUCUCCAUGCCUUAGUUUUGUAUAGAUUGUGAUAAUCUAGCUAAAGAAGGUUCAUAAAAUUGCUUAUAAAUCUAAACAGAAAACUUUGGUGAAGAAAAUAUUUUCAGGCCAGUCAGUUCUACCAAAUCAGUCCUUGGUCAUCAAUAGUGCCACAGUCAAACUGCUCUCACAUCCAAAAUAUCUUCUCAGAAGAGAGCAACUUUGCCACAAGAACUCUUACUCUUCGUGCCAUGGUAUCAUUGCUAAACGACAUCUCCCAGUUGGUAGGGAUCUCAAAUAAGGCCAUCUUUCAGAUCAGUUGAUGUCA